rnacentral:rRNA from 1 species
GAUGAACGCUAGCUACAGGCUUAACACAUGCAAGUCGAGGGAAACGACAUCGAAAGCUUGCUUUUGAUGGGCGUCGACCGGCGCACGGGUGAGUAACGCGUAUCCAACCUGCCCACCACUUGGGGAUAACCUUGCGAAAGUAAGACUAAUACCCAAUGAUAUCCCACGAAGGCAUCCGAAUGGGAUUAAAGAUUUAUCGGUGAUGGAUGGGGAUGCGUCUGAUUAGCUUGUUGGCGGGGUAACGGCCCACCAAGGCAACGAUCAGUAGGGGUUCUGAGAGGAAGGUCCCCCACAUUGGAACUGAGACACGGUCCAAACUCCUACGGGAGGCAGCAGUGAGGAAUAUUGGUCAAUGGGCGAGAGCCUGAACCAGCCAAGUAGCGUGCAGGAUGACGGCCCUAUGGGUUGUAAACUGCUUUUAUAAGGGAAUAAAGUGAGUCUCGUGAGACUUUUUGCAUGUACCUUAUGAAUAAGGACCGGCUAAUUCCGUG